rnacentral:rRNA from 1 species
UACGUAGGGUGCAAGCGUUGUCCGGAAUUAUUGGGCGUAAAGAGCUCGUAGGCGGUUUGUCGCGUCGGCUGUGAAAACCUAGGGCUCAACUCUGGGCUUGCAGCCGAUACGGGCAAACUAGAAUUCGGUAGGGGAGACUGGAAUUCCUGGUGGUAGCGGUGAAAUGCGUAGAUAUCAGGAGGAACACCGUGUGGCGAAAGGCG